GCGGCCUCGGUCCGGUUUACCUCCGCGGCCCUCCCCCGCGCCCGGCCGCGGCCUCUCACUACCCGCCGGCCGCACCCUAGCGCGAGCCUCCGGCCCACUUCCUGCCUCCGCCCCUCCGGCCCUGGCAGAACUUCCUUUGCGAAACUGGGCCGCCCCGGGCCCUGGCAGGAAGUGCCCUCCCGGCUCCGCCUCGCCUGCUGCCCACGGUGGCCGCUAGAGGCCUCUCUGUCUUCGCCGACGCCCGGGCUCCCCGGCGCCGGGCCUCUCCCGCCGGCUCCCUGCCUGGGCGCAGACAUCCCACCCUCUCCCCGAGGCUGGAAGGAUGAGGGCCGGCCUAGAACGAGGCCCUCUCCCGGCGAAAAGCAUCACGAAGCCAUCACCCGGGAGGAAAGGACGCAGCACCCUCGCUCGGCACCCUGAGCUCCAGUCCCACUCUGAGCCGAAGCCCGAGAGCCCUUGGCCGGGUCAACACCGAGCCCUGCCUGCCUCCUGCCCGGCCCUCCUCGGGGUCCUGCUCUAUUUCCUGCUCUCCAUGCAAACACUCGCGCCCCCCAGAUUUGCAUCCUGAAUGGCCUGUCACCGCAGAGUCACCAGCGCUCCCAACUUUGAGACCUCAGCCAGCCUUCUACACACACACACACACACACACACACACACACACUUCAUCCACAGAGUUCAAUGCAACCACAUGGAUUGUGGUGCCAGGCACCGUGCCAGGACCCGGGGGUAUGCCAUGACUAGGCUGCGCUUCUGCUCUCAAGGAACUCACGUCCUAGUUGGAGAACAGACAUCUGAAUAUGUUGUCCAAACCUGAAAUGCUGCAAGUGGGGGGGCAAGAGAUAACAUGGGGGGAGCACAGGGGCCAGCCUAACCUCCCCUGGGGGUACAUGAGGAGCCUGGAAAUCCUUGCGAAGGAUUUGGGAAGGAGGCAAGGUUCAGGGGAAGGUGGUCUGUGCAGGGAGGUCCAACAGGAAAGGAAGCCAAAGCCUCAAGGGACACAGUAGGGAGCGUGGGAAGUGACAGUUUUGAAAUUGCACACAAGGGGGGAAGGAGGGGAAAUGACACUGCAGAAAGCAGGAGCGAGAUAACGCAGAUCUGUAGCCAGACCAAGGGGGUGGCCUUUUCCUUGCAGGCAGGGGGUGCCCCAGAGGGACACUGAGCAGGAGAGAGUCAUAUAGAAACCUGGCAGCCACCCCCUGGAAGCUAUAUCAGGGUGUGUGCUGUUCUGUCCGACUCUGUGACCCAAUAGACUGUAAUCCACCAGGCUCCUCUGUCCCUGGAAUUUUCCAGGCAAGAAUACUGGAGCGGGUUGCCGUUUCCUGCUCCAAGGGAAUCUUCCCAACCCCUGGAUCAAACCCGCAUCUUUGUCUCCUAUGUUGGCAAACAGAUUCUUUACCACUGAGCUACCUGGUUAGGGACCUAAGACUCUCCCUAUGGGGAGACCACAGACAUGGUUCCAACGACAGAGGUCGAAGACCUGAACUGCAGCCAAGACAGUGAAGAGGGAAGGACGAAGUGAUGGAUGUGACACAGGAGAUGAACUUGGCAGCGAGCUCCGGCUGGUUGGCUCUUGGGGCAGGGGUGGAGGGGAGGGAGGAAGGCAACCUGACUUCUGGCUUUGGAGACUUCGGCUGUGAAAAUGUCUCUACCUGAGGGGUUUAGGUACUCACUGCUUGCUUGUUACUCACAGAAUCAUGGAUACACCACUGCUGACAAGAGUGUACAUUUGGUGCAGCCUCUUUGGAGAAUAAUUUGACCAUCGAAAAUAUUUUCAAAAUGCAGACACUUUUUGAUCUAGCAGUUGGAUUUUUAGGAAUUUAUGUGGUAGAUAAAAUGUAUAUUCAUAUAACUGUA